CACGAACGCUGGCGGCCUGCCUAACACAUGCAAGUCGAACGAGAUCUUCGGGUCUAGUGGCGCACGGGUGCGUAACGCGUGGGAAUCUGCCCUUUGGUUCGGAAUAACAGUUGGAAACGACUGCUAAUACCGGAUGAUGACGAAAGUCCAAAGAUUUAUCGCCAGAGGAUGAGCCCGCGUAGGAUUAGCUAGUUGGUGUGGUAAAGUCGCACCAAGGCGACGAUCCUUAGCUGGUCUGAGAGGAUGAUCAGCCACACUGGGACUGAGACACGGCCCAGACUCCUACGGGAGGCAGCAGUGGGGAAUAUUGGACAAUGGGCGAAAGCCUGAUCCAGCAAUGCCGCGUGAGUGAUGAAGGCCUUAGGGUUGUAAAGCUCUUUUACCCGGGAUGAUAAUGACAGUACCGGGAGAAUAAGCUCCGGCUAACUCCGUGCCAGCAGCCGCGGUAA
rnacentral:rRNA from 1 species